UUUAAUUGAAGAGUUUGAUCAUGGCUCAGAUUGAACGCUGGCGGCAGGCCUAACACAUGCAAGUCGAGCGGCAGCGACAACAUUGACCCUUCGGGUGAUUUGUUGGGCGGCGAGCGGCGGACGGGUGAGUAAUGCCUGGGAAUAUGCCCUGAUGUGGGGGAUAACCAUUGGAAACGAUGGCUAAUACCGCAUAAUCUCUUCGGAGCAAAGAGGGGGACCUUCGGGCCUCUCGCGUCAGGAUUAGCCCAGGUGAGAUUAGCUUGUUGGUGAGGUAAGAGCUCACCAAGGCAACGAUC
rnacentral:rRNA from 1 species